AAAACAGGAGUAGAUCAGCAUGUAGUCAUGUCUGCAAUACUCUUCAACAUUGCCAUUGACUGGGUAAUGCAGUGUACAACAGAAGGCAUGCCAAGAGGCAUUAAAUGGACACCCUUCUCAUCCCUUGAAGACCUGGACUACGCAGAUGAUGUUGCUCUCCUAUCACAUACCCAACA